rnacentral:pre_miRNA from 1 species
CGGGGGAGGCCGGAUCCUGGGCUGUGUCCCGGCCCCUGUGCUCUGGGGCCUGCGCUGUUGGAUUCGCUCCUGCCCUGCAGCCCCCG